rnacentral:rRNA from 1 species
UGGGGAAUUUUGCACAAUGGGGGAAACCCUGAUGCAGCGACGCCGCGUGAUUUAGAAGGCCUUCGGGUUGUAAAAAUCUUUUUUACGGGAUGAAAAUGACAGUACCGUAAGAAUAAGGUCCGGCUAAAUACGUGCCAGCAGCCGCGGUAAUACGUAUGGACCGAGCGUUGUCCGGAAUCAUUGGGCGUAAAGGGUACGUAGGCGGCCUAAUAAGUUAGAAGUGAAAGAAUAUAGCUCAACUAUAUAAAGCUUUUAAAACUGUUAGGCUUGAGAGAUGAAAGGAGAGGUGGAAUUCCUAGUGUGGCGGUGAGAUGCGCAGAUAUUAGGAAGAAUACCGGUGGCGAAGGCGACUGUCUGGUCAUCAUCUGACGCUGAGGUACGAAAGCGUGGGUAGCAAACAGG